CACUUCUGAGCCGGGCUCCUCGCCCUCAGAGGAUGUGAGGGAUUCCAUGGAGCCUUCGUCGUCCUCCUCUUCUUCCUUCCAGCUGUAGGCCUGCAGAAGCCUGGGUGUCCGACAACAGCGACAGCAGCGGCCUGGAGGUGACUCCGGUAUUGCCAGAAGAGGAUGGCUGGGGCCCAGAGGACGAAGGAAACCAACCACGCCAGGCCAAUCAUUAGCGCUGCCCUGCGGGGAGUGCGCUUGGCUCGGUAGCUCAGGGGUCGGGUCACUGAGAAGUAACGGUCAAAGCUGAUGAGCAGAAGAUUCAUGACGGAGGCAUUGCUGGCCACAUAGUCCAGGGCCAGCCAGAGGUCACAGGCCAGAGUGCCCAGAGCCCAGUGACCCAUGAGCAGGGUAACAGUGACUAAGGGGGCUAGAAGAGAGGCAUCAGAUCCCCUGGGACUGGAGUUGCAGACAUUGCGAGCUGCCUUGUGGGUGCUGGGAAUUGAAUCUGAGUCCUGUGGAAGAGCGGUUGAUCUGUGAAGGACUUUUCUCUUGAGCACAUGUCCAGCCUUCCUGGCUUUCUUUACCACAAAAGUGGAGUUGGUUCUGCAAACUGCCUGAAUAGGCCCUGGGCUCAUCCCAGCCAUCCUCGUGGGGAUCCUUUGCUAACUGGGGACAGAUCUCUAGAGUGUCGCUAACUUGAAACUCACACAGUACAGUCCACAGCUUGUCUUCUUCUUCCAGCCUUGUGUCCAGCACUGUGCUCAAUCCUGGGAAGGGAGCAGAAGCCAGAGAGAGAUGUCAUGAU